UACGGGGGGUGCGAGCGUUGUCCGGAAUCACUGGGCGUAAAGGGCGCGUAGGUGGGCAAGUAAGUCAGUGGUGAAAUCUCCGGGCUUAACCCGGAAACUGCCAUUGAUACUAUUUGUCUUGAAUACUGUGGAGGUCAGCGGAAUAUGUCAUGUAGCGGUGAAAUGCUUAGAUAUGACAUAGAACACCAAUUGCGAAGGCAGCUGGCUACACAAAUAUUGACACUGAGGCACGAAAGCGUGGGGAUCAAACAGG
rnacentral:rRNA from 1 species